rnacentral:rRNA from 1 species
GAAACGACAACAUUGACCCUUCGGGUGAUUUGUUGGGCGUCGAGCGGCGGACGGGUGAGUAAUGCCUGGGAAAUUGCCCUGAUGUGGGGGAUAACCAUUGGAAACGAUGGCUAAUACCGCAUGAUGCCUACGGGCCAAAGAGGGGGACCUUCGGGCCUCUCGCGUCAGGAUAUGCCCAGGUGGGAUUAGCUAGUUGGUGAGGUAAGGGCUCACCAAGGCGACGAUCCCUAGCUGGUCUGAGAGGAUGAUCAGCCACACUGGAACUGAGACCCGGCCCAGACUCCUACGGGAGGCAGCAGUGGGGAAUAUUGCACAAUGGGCGCAAGCCUGAUGCAGCCAUGCCGCGUGUAUGAAGAAGGCCUUCGGGUUGUAAAGUACUUUCAGUCGUGAGGAAGGGGGUAUCGUUAAUAGCGGUAUUCUUUGACGUUAGCGACAGAAGAAGCACCGGCUAACUCCGUGCCAGCAGCCGCGGUAAUACGGAGGGUGCGAGCGUUAAUCGGAAUUACUGGGCGUAAAGCGCAUGCAGGUGGUUCGUUAAGUCAGAUGUGAAAGCCCGGGGCUCAACCUCGGAAUAGCAUUUGAAACUGGCGGACUAGAGUACUGUAG